CGGGGGGCUGCAGCAGUGGGGAAUAUUGCACAAUGGGCGCAAGCCUGAUGCAGCCAUGCCGCGUGUAUGAAGAAGGCCUUCGGGUUGUAAAGUACUUUCAGCGGGGAGGAAGGGAGUAAAGUUAAUACCUUUGCUCAUUGACGUUACCCGCAGAAGAAGCACCGGCUAACUCCGUGCCAGCAGCCGCGGUAAUACGGAGGGUGCAAGCGCUAAUCGGAAUUACUGGGCGUAAAGCGCACGCAGGCGGUUUGUUAAGUCAGAUGUGAAAUCCCCGGGCUCAACCUGGGAACUGCAUCUGAUACUGGCAAGCUUGAGUCUCGUAGAGGGGGGUAGAAUUCCAGGUGUAGCGGUGAAAUGCGUAGAGAUCUGGAGGAAUACCGGUGGCGAAGGCGGCCCCCUGGACGAAGACUGACGCUCAGGUGCGAAAGCGUGGGGAGCAAACAGGAUUAGAUACCCUGGUAGUC
rnacentral:rRNA from 1 species